rnacentral:rRNA from 1 species
UGGGGAAUCUUGCACAAUGGGGGAAACCCUGAUGCAGCGACGCCGCGUGAGCGAUGAAGCCCCUCGGGGUGUAAAGCUCUUUCGGCAGGAAAGAUUAUGACGGUACCUGCAGAAGAAGCUGCGGCUAACUACGUGCCAGCAGCCGCGGUAAUACGUAGGCAGCAAGCGUUGUUCGGAGUUACUGGGCGUAAAGGGUGUGUAGGCGGUUCGCCAAGUUCGGUGUGAAAUCUCCCGGCUCAACUGGGAGGGUGCGCCGAAUACUGGCGGGCUAGAGUGCGGGAGAGGAGAGCGGAAUUCCUGGUGUAGCGGUGAAAUGCGUAGAUAUCAGGAGGAACACCUGCGGUGUAGACGGCUCUCUGGACCGCAACUGACGCUGAGACACGAAAGCGUGGGUAGCAAACA